rnacentral:rRNA from 1 species
CCCUUAGAUGUUCUGGGCCGCACGCGCGCUACACUGAUACGUUCAUCAAGUUUUACGUUCCUUGGCUGUGAGGCCUGGGCAAUCUUUGAAAUCGUAUCGUGCUGGGGAUAGAUUAUUGGAAUUAUUAAUCUUCAACGAGGAAUUCCUAGUAAACGCAAGUCAUCAGCUUGCAUUGAUUACGUCCCUGCCCUUUGUACACACCGCCCGUCGCUACUACCGAUUGAAUGUUUUAGUGAGUUGCAGGGAUUGUGGGUCUUCGGCUUGCCGUUUUCUCGCGAGAACUGUUGCUAACUUGAGCAUUUAGAGGAAGUAAAAGUCGUAACA